AGUUGAGAGUGGCUGAGCUAAACAGCCACUGUGAGGUGCGCCGCCGUUGCAGGACGCACGGUGCCGCUGUACAAUAGUUUUCCAAAUCAGCUGCCACCCGCCCGACAACAUCAAGGCAGCAACGAAAAAGAGACGUCCAACGUUAUAAUUUUCUCAUCCUCGCGGGGAAAACAUUCUUCGCAAUCUGAGGCAGUUUUUUGAUUAACAAAAUGAACAGUGUGCCACUCAGACCCCACCACCCAAGUCAACUUCUGGUUGAAGGUGACUUUGGAAGCCAGGACCGUGACAGCAACAGAAUGCAGAGAGCGGGGCAUCCUGAAGCCAUACUGCCCAAAAGGCUAUUUGGCCCCAGUGAGACAGGAGCCCAGGAAAGUGAGAGACAACCGAGGGAAGAAGGUUUGAGAGGCCGCGAGACAUUGACCACCGGAGCCCAUUCCUCCCAAAUUAGACUUGUUUUUAUUGUUUUACUGAAUUAUUUCCAGUACUGUUGUCUCCUAUGUAUGGUCCAUGGAUAAAACUUGUCUGAUAAGAAUGGCCAAAGGCUGGUAUGUAUUUUGUUUUAUUCAAAUUGCUUUAGAUUUUGCUAGAAUGUUUAUUUCACAACAUUGAAAAGUAAUAACAAAAUUGGUAUGUUAGUUCCUAAUCUGAUCUCCUUGACCAUUAGCAGUUACCAUACCCGGGCUUCUAAAUGGUUGCUAUUUAAAGUCCCCAUGAUAUUUACAGCACUGGGUAAGACUGCCUUCUCCCAAUGUGCUCCAGAGGCAUGGAACAGCCUACAUUCCAUGCAUCGUCUGGAUAUUUUAGUACCACCAGUGUAAAACUGUGGUUAAAAACGCUGUUAAAGAGGAGUGUUAAUGCUUUCUUUAGGCUGCAUCAUGUUGUUGUAUGGUUUUUAUCUGUGUAUUGUACUGACUGCAGUUGCCUGUCUCAGCCAGUUCUCCUUUGUAAAAGAGACUCUGGGUCUCAAGAUGAUUUCGUGGUUAAAAAAAAUAAACUUUGUGGAGAAACCAGA